rnacentral:rRNA from 1 species
UACGAACUGUGCGAACGUUAUUCGGAAUCACUGGGCUUACAGGGUGCGUAGGCGGCUUGUCAAGUAGGGUGUGAAAGCCCCCGGCUCAACCGGGGAAUGGCGCCCUAAACUGGCGAGCUAGAGUGAGAUAGGGGUGUGUGGAACUUCCGGUGGAGCGGUGAAAUGCGUAGAGAUUCGGAGGAAUACCGGUGGCGAAGGCGCCCAUCUGGGAUAUAACUGACGCUGAGGCACGAAAGCGUGGGGAGCAAACAGG